rnacentral:rRNA from 1 species
UACGUAGGUGACAAGCGUUGUCCGGAUUUACUGGGCGUAAAGCGCACGCAGGUGGCUGAGAAAGUCGAUUGUGAAAGCCCUGGGCUUAACCUGGGAAUUGCAGUCGAAACUACUCGGCUAGAGUAUGGGAGAGGGUAGUGGAAUUCCCGGUGUAGCGGUGAAAUGCGUAGAUAUCGGGAGGAACAUCAGUGGCGAAGGCGGCUACCUGGCCCAAUACUGACACUCAGGUGCGACAGCGUGGGGAGCAAACGGG